rnacentral:rRNA from 1 species
GCCACCCAUUGCUGNGUCNCCCAUCUGGGGCGGCAUGAAAGUUUGCUCCUACUUACUAAUGAAUCCCUGUCGAAUCUGCGUUAACAGAUGAUAAGAUGCACCGGGUUUCCUCCGACGUCAGACGGCGGCGGGUUGAACANCAUACUGAUAAUCCACUCUGAAUGAUGGGGAUAACUGUUGAAACCGAAGGCUAGUUCUCGAUAUUUGUAGGGUGAAAGGGCAAGCUUCCUAUUGAAUACCUCCUCUCAAAUUAGUUACCUGGGAGGUAAAAACCUGCCCAAGGUAACUGUCGGUAGUUGGUCUGAAAUGACGAGCAGCCAUACUGUUACUGAGAGACUGCGCAGAUUGCCCCUGGAGGCUGCACUGGGGAAUUUGCCACAAGNUGUCUACUGCGUGACAGAACAAAAGGCGGAGGCCCCCACGAAGGCCCUGGGGUUAUACACUCCUUUCCCCGGGAAACAACAUNUGUAUGUUCCCGNGGCAGAAAAUCCCNCCNNUNCUUCCGUGGUGCCAUCCCCUAAAUUACCAAGACGGCAAUCCGUUAUUNGGAAUUAUCUGUCCNGUAAUAGGUGUACCUCAGUGUGGAGGCAUCCGCUCUCCAUUCUCGCGUGGGGCCCUUCCCCCCGAAGCGGUUGUGGAAAUUGAACAGUUGGAGUGUGGAACGGGCCCAGGGAAUUCNCAUGUAGCGGUGAAGUGGGAUCAGNUNGGAAAGAACNNCCUCUGCNACNCCCUGUGCUUAUGCCGAUUUAAAGUAAGGCCUUAUACCUCUGGCACGCUACGGGAUGAUUAACCCUGGGUGCUACUCUAACGUAUCGAACUAGGUGGGCCUACAAUUACCCGGACCUUGCAGAUUACGCCCUCUUAUCCGCUUGGGAAUUGCAGCCAACGGAACUCCAUGAAUUGGUGGGGGCCACCCCCCUAGAAUAGUUUUUCAAAAAGUCAAAUUAGCGCUUGAAAUGGGCCCCGAAUCGGGGUCUAAUUCCCAGGGCGUGGUGG